rnacentral:rRNA from 1 species
UACGGGGGGGGCAAGCGUUGUUCGGAAUUACGUGGGCGUAAAGGGCGCGUAGGCGCCUACUAAGUCGGACGUGAAAUCCCUCGGCGUCAACCGAGGAACUGCGUCCGAUACUGGCAGGCUGGAAUCCGGGAGAGGGAUGUGGAAUUCCGAGGUGUAGCGGUGAAAUGCGUAGAUAUCUGGAGGAACACCGGUGGCGAAGGCGGCAUCCUGGACCGGUAUUGACGCUGAGGAGCGAAAGCUAGGGGAGCAAAGGGAGUUAG